UAGGACUGGCACCUUGGAAAUACUGUAGUAGCACUGUCUAGUCCUAUGAAUCUGAAACUCUGAAAGCUGUUUUAGAAUAUCAUUAUUUCUUUUUUGACUAUAUCUCUCUGUAGUGCCACUUGGUCUACAAGCCAUGUUGUAACUCUGAGUCUAUUCUUUUAAAAUUUUCCUCAAGUCGUUGUAGUUUAGCAGACUUAGCUUUAUGCAGAUUAGAGCAAAAACAUGUGAUGUUACUCCUUAUGAAGCCUUUGAAUACAUCCCAUAAUAGCCUAGGGUCCUCCACCGAGCCAUUGUUGAAGCUCACAAAUUCCUUAAAUUCGGUGAUAAAUUGUGAUAUGUAUAUGCUGUAAUGACCUUCCCCUUUAACUUGCUUUGCUUGGCGUUACCACUAGAGGAAGUAAUAAACAUAUAGGAUAUAAGUGAAACGAAGUAGAGCAAGAGUAAUCCACGUUUGUUCAUGAGCUAACAGGUACAGCUCGGGAGCAUGAUUUAGCUUUCAGCUUUAGUAUCCCUUCGGCAAGCAGAGCGAGUUUUACGGUGCCAUGGUGCUGUGAUGUUAUUGUUAUGGUGCUAUGAAGUCAAUCAGUGGUUGUGAUGCAUGGAGAGAAUUUGCAACAAAGAAUUGAGACAACGAAUACUUCAGUAGUGAAGUUUAUUGCAUCUGAGUAAAAUAAAUCGAAGGCACCCUUCAAAACUCUCUGCCUUAUUUGUUCGAUGCUGAAGGGCUCCUACAUAUGCUACUAGCCCAGGAAUGCUAUUAGCUCCCUUUCUCUGAACCUCGAUAAGCUGGAACUACUAAGCACCAGGUCCCAUAUCGUGUUAAAUUCACCACCAACUAUUAAGGAAUAACUAGGUGUAAAUGUUCUUCUGUAGCACCACAGACCCUCCAGCUCAGGGACUGCAGGCUGAACUGAACUCUUAAAGCAGUUUUCCUCACUGCCAGUCCGAGAGCUGCAGCACUGCACAGUUUAGUGUUUUACUGCUUCAACACCUGAUAAAGCUCAUGAAGGACUUCAGAAUGAGACGAGUGAGUUUGAUCAGGUGGAACACUGCUGUAAAACACCUCACUAUACUGACCUCACAUCAGUAGAACUGUCUCUGUCUCUGAAGUUAAUUGGAGGAUCCAUAGACCAGUCACUCUUCAUGGACACACAGCUGGGUUCUGGAUGAGCUGAAGCUGAAGCUGAGGCUGUAGAAAGACUGCCAGAAGAUGCUGAAACAGUGAACAGCUCACCUCUGGUGCUCAAGAAGUAGAAAAAUCCAGUGAUGGCAAGCUUAUUUACAGGCGCAUAUACAAAAGAACAAAAGGAAAGAAAUAAAGGUAAAAUGCACAUAUGCCUUGCAGAAUCUGCAAAAUGUUAAUAAAUGAAAAAAGAGGGAUCAUUAAAAACUGCAUUUUGUUCUUGAUAUAGUACUGCCCUGAAUAAGCUAUUUCACAUAACAGAUGAUUAUGUAUAGUCCACAAGACACAAUAAUAACUCAAUUUACACAAAUGAACCAGUUCAAAACCAGAGAAAAAUCCUCCAGGUCCUGCAACUUCUUUGAUUUUCCAGCAUCUUCUGCAUAUUUGACCCCUUUCCAACAGUGGCUAUAUGAUGCUGAGAUCCAUCAUUUCACACGGAGGAUGAUUGAGGGUCUUGAACACAACUAUUACAAAAGGUGCAAACAUUCACUGAUGCUCAAGUAGGCAAUGUGAUACAUUAAGACCAAGGGGGAGCGUACUUUUGAACAGGAUGAUCAGUGUAAAUUGUUAUUAUUUUGUCUUCUGGGAAGCAUGUACAUAUCUUAUGUAGCUUCUGAAGGGCAGUAUUAAAUGAAAAAAAAAAUUUAAACAAAAUGAUUACAAUAAUAACCCCGAGGGGGGUUUAAUGGCUCUAAUGCUUGCUGGAAAAGCUGAAUGUAGAGUGGAUUAAGGUGGUACAUUUUACAGUCCAAGAACAAACUAUUAUAAUGAAUUCCUUUAAAGAAACAAAUAAUAACAGCAAAAGGCAUUACUGGCUUUACUGUUACUGUUAAAGUCUUUUUAAACUUUAUUUAACAUUUUGGGUCUAUAAUUAGCUCAACUGCUUUUUUUUACACAUUGUGCUAUAUAACUAUUUUACAACGAUAAAUAGAGGGACAACUAAUAUUUUUCCGGGAAGGAGGGGAUGUGUUACCUUUUUGUCCCAUCAGCGGUACUCAUGCUAAUCCCUACUCCCUCCACUGGAAAUCAUGUGCCCUAAAUAGCGCAAUAACACCGAGUACACUAGUGCAGAGAGAUGUUCACUCUGAACAACUGAGACUGUCACUGUCACCAUGGUUACGAGAAGAUUCCUCAUGAAGAGUCAGAAAGUCCAGCUCACGAGUCGUGACACAACAUUGAAGUUUCUCAGUGUGGUGGAACACGUGUUAGUCCUGGUAGUGGUCGAUGCCAAGUGUGAUUACAGUACAGUCCUCACACACCUGAACUGUUGUGUUUCAGUCACAGUCACUGUUUAUUUUGUACUACACACAGUGUAAAUGACAUACACACAACAUAUAUACAAAACUAUAUUAAAUGACAGGAAUACAUACAGUGCAUGUAGUUAAAGGUUUUCAGUUACAGUUUUUUAGUUUAAAAAAAACCACCAUAUACAAUACAUUAGCAAACGGAAGGAUUUUUUUUUUUAAUAAAAAAGGAUUACAUAUAGGAUUAAAUAUGAUAUAAAAGGAUAUCAUAACUGUGAAUCAAUCAUCUGUGGAGAAACAAAUGUUAGAUAAAGGAGCUAAAAUGAGCUAUAAACAGCUACAACACAUGGAUGUGUAUUUGUGUAAUCAGUGUGAUGAUGUGAUGAUAUCUCUGUGUUGUGUGUAGACGCUGAAGGAUUUGACGUUGGAUUGUAAAAUAUGUUAUUAAAGCCUGAAGUAAUUUGUAGCUGAGUGGAUAAAAGGAUGUGAUCAGUCACGGUUAUUGUUAUGGAACUUCUACAUCUGAAUAUGAAUGAUUCAGCUCCCAAACUGCUGGAAAUGUGGGACGGGUUCUAACGCUUCACCAAAACUGCUUUAUCCUGGAAAAGAGGUUUGAGGUGAGACUCCUGUCAUACGCCAGUCCUGGUGAGUUUAUGAUUCUUAAUUCUGAAAGACAGAGAAGAGAAUCGGUGUAAACAAACAACAUCAGUAUAAACACCAACACACACACACACAAAAUGACAAUAUUAUAUAGUACACAGUGAAUAUUAUUCAUUAUACAAUACAGUACAGUAAAGAGUCAGUAAGUCAGUAACUCACUGUAGUGUCUCCAGUUUACAGUGUGGAUCCUUCAGUAGAUCAGAGAGCAGCUUCACUCCUGAUUCUCCUGGAUUAUUAUAUUUCAGAUCCAGUUCUCUCAGGUGUGAUGAGGAGUUUGACCUCAGAGCUGAAGCCAGAGCAGCACAACCUUCAUCUGUAAUACUGCAGCGCCACAUCCUGCAAGAAAGAAAACCUUCUCACACUUAACACACUCAGUUUUAGCACUGAAAACAUGAACUACACAAAAUCUUUAUAUACAGUACAUUUACUCUCCAUCUCACACACACAACAGUGAAAAUAUAUCAGAUCACUACAAUUAUAGUUACCACAGAUGAAAACUGCAUGUUGCUGCAUUUAUUAAAACGGUGUGCGUUGUAUGUGUGUGUGUGUGUGUGUGUGUGUGUGUGUGAGAGAGAGAGAGAGAGAUAGAUUCUGAUAGCGUGUCCCGUGAACUUUUCUGAACUUUCUGAAAUGUAACGAACACAAAAGCUAAAGUAAAUCUGAUCAAAUAUUAUUAGGUGGCUGUUGUUGUCAAAUGUAAAUAACAGUUUCUUGAUUUGGGAAAGACGUUGUUGUUUUGAAACAUAGUUGGCUUUUUUACUCAGUCACAUUAGAUAGAAGAUAGAAAGCUUUCCAGAAAGUUCCAAAGGAUGUCUGGUUUAGGAGUUGAAUAAAGUUAUAUAAUUAACAAAUGCUAAUAAAUAAAUAAAUGAAUGAAUAAUAAAAGAAUGAAAAAAUGUGUUCAAUUUGUUAAUGAAAAAUGUUUUCUUUUUGCAGCAGCCCUGAUUUUUUUCACUCUUUUUCAGGGCAUAGUGAUAGGGUUCACAUGAAAAUCCCUCUGGUACAGACCACGCCCACUUCCUGUUUAAAUCUAAAUACAAAAACAGUUAUGAAUAUUUUGAGCUCUAAACAGAUACAGAUAAUAGCAUUGUGUUACACCUCUAGCAGAGACACAAGACCUAAACAGCUAUAAUUACAAUUCAUAAGUACAGUUUUUAUUUAUUCAUGAUAUAGAAUUAAUCUAGAAAGUAAAUAUGAUUCUCACAAACACAUUUCAGUUUCUUACAAACAUUUAAAUCAUAUUCUGAAGUAUACAGCUUCAUAAAACACACACACGAUCAUUUCUGUAUGUAAUAUUUGGGGACAAAGUGAUAAUCUGACGUCUGUGUGUGUGUGUGUGUGUGUGUGUGUGUGUGUGUGUAUACCUCAGUAUCUCCAGUGUACAGUGUGGAUUCUCCAGUCCAGCAGAGAGCAGCUUCACUCCUGAAUCCUGCAGUUUAUUGUUACUCAGGUCCAGUUCUCUCAGACUGGAGGAGUUUGAGCUGAGAACUGAGGACAGAACUCUACAGCUUUCCUCUGUCAGAUUACACUCAUAUAGCCUGGAAGAGAAAUGAUGAAGUGUUUGAUUUAUUUAUCUCAUGGACUACUCUUGGACAGAUCCAUGUGUCUCAGCUCAUAUGAGAUGAUGUAUUUAACUUUCUCAAACAAGAUAACAGAGAGGCCACUCUGAACAAACACGUCUCUUUAUUUCUAGCAGAGGGUUUUUCAUAAAGUGUGUUCAGCAGCUCUAGGGAAAGUACAGCUCCAUGAGGACAGAUAACAUCAGAGAAAUUGGCUUACUGACCUCUAGACUAGUACUGGCAUGUUAUUAAAGUAUAUGUGUGUGCAAUGUAAACUGAUCUACAUGCUGUGAAAAUAAAGGUACUUUGUUUCUGA